GAUGAACGCUGGCGGCGUGCCUAAUACAUGCAAGUCGAGCGAACAGACGAGGAGCUUGCUCCUCUGACGUUAGCGGCGGACGGGUGAGUAACACGUGGAUAACCUACCUAUAAGACUGGGAUAACUUCGGGAAACCGGAGCUAAUACCGGAUAAUAUAUUGAACCGCAUGGUUCAAUAGUGAAAGACGGUUUUGCUGUCACUUAUAGAUGGAUCCGCGCCGCAUUAGCUAGUUGGUAAGGUAACGGCUUACCAACGCAACGAUGCGUAGCCGACCAGAGGGGGUGAUCGGCCACACUGGAACUGAGACGCGGGCCAGACUCCUACGGGAGGCAGCAGUAGGGAAUCUUCCGCAAUGGGCGAAAGCCUGACGGAGCAACGCCGCGUGAGUGAUGAAGGUCUUCGGAUCGUAAAACUCUGUUAUUAGGGAAGAACAAAUGUGUAAGUAACUAUGCACGUCUUGACGGUACCUAAUCAGAAAGCCACGGCUAACUACGUGCCAGCCGCCGCAGUAA
rnacentral:rRNA from 1 species